UUACGGCCAAAUCACACUGAAAUACUGGUUCCCGUAUGAUCACCGAAUUUAAGCAAUGUCGAGCCAGGUCAGUACCUUGAUGGCUAACCGUUUGGGAAUACCAGGUGCUGUAAG